UUAUCUUCAGUUUAUCAUGUAUCAUUUAUUGUUUAUUUCAGAGCACGUAGGAUAAAACCCAUUCUAGAUGGUCCAGUUGGGCCUCCUGCAGUCACUUGCAGGCUUACACAAACAUGCACAUACAGAGUUAUGUAAAACACGCACGUUCACAUACACACUUAAUAAGAACAGAAAGGUCGUCUUAGGACAUGCUCCCUGUUGGACAUACACUCACAAAAUACACACUCAUGAACACACUAUUGGUUAAGUUCCCAGAAAGCCGGAGUGGAAACAUCUGGAAAAUGUUGUUGUUCUUAGCCAUAGAAGGACAUAGAAGUGAGAACUGACUGAUACUUAUCAUGUGACUUGACGUCAUCAUUGCAAUAAAAACCUUGUGAAGAGACUGUUCGGGGGAGAUCGGCUCUUAAAGGCUUGUGAUGCUCAUCUUCCCCAUAUGUACAUAUGUAUAAUAAAAAUCACUAUUUUGACAUCUACUGAGA